rnacentral:rRNA from 1 species
UACAGAAGGUGCGAGCGUUAAUCGGAAUUAUUGGGCGUAAAGGGUGCGUAGGCGGCCCGACAAGUCUGAUGUGAAAUCCCUGGGCUCAACCCAGGGCCUGCAUCGGAAACUGUCGGGCUUGAGUAUGGGAGAGGUGAGUGGAAUUUCCGGUGUAGCGGUGAAAUGCGUAGAUAUCGGAAGGAACACCUGUGGCGAAAGCGGCUCACUGGACCACAACUGACGCUGAGGCGCGAAAGCUAGGGGAGCAAACAGG